GAUGAACGCUGGCGGCGUGCCUAAUACAUGCAAGUCGAGCGAACAGGUAAGGAGCUUGCUCCUUUGACGUUAGCGGCGGACGGGUGAGUAACACGUGGGUAACCUACCUAUAAGACUGGAAUAACUCCGGGAAACCGGGGCUAAUGCCGGAUAACAUUUAGCACCGCAUGGUUCUAAAGUGAAAGAUGGUUUUGCUAUCACUUAUAGAUGGACCCGCGCCGUAUUAGCUAGUUGGUAAGGUAACGGCUUACUAAGGCAACGAUACGUAUCCGACCUGAGAGAGGGAUCGCCCACAUUGGAACGUGGACACGCUCCAGACUCCUACGGUAGGCAGCAGUAGGGAAUCUGCCGCAGUGGGGGAAAGCCUGACGGAGCAACGCCGCGUGAGUGAUGAAGGUCUUCGGAUCGUAAAACUGUGUUAUUAGGUAAGAACAAAUGUGUAAGUAACUGUGCACGUCUUGACGGUACCUAAUCAGAAAGCCACGGCUAACUACGUG
rnacentral:rRNA from 1 species